rnacentral:rRNA from 1 species
UGAACGCUGGCGGCGUGCCUACCACAUGCAAGUCGAACGGAGUCCAGCCUUUAAGACCUUCGGGUCAAAGAGGGGAAGACUGAGUGGCGGACGGGUGAGUAACACGUGGGCAACCUGGCUCAUAGAGGGGGAUAACAGAGAGAAAUUUCUGCUAAUACCGCAUAAGCACACACUGCCGCAUGGCAGAGGGUGAAAAGAGAAUCGCUAUGAGAUGGACCCGCGUCUGAUUAGCCAGUUGGCAGGGUAAGAGCCUACCAAAGCGACGAUCAGUAGCCGAUCUGAGAGGAUGAACGGCCACAUUGGGACUGAGACACGGCCCAAACUCCUACGGGAGGCAGCAGUGGGGGAUAUUGCACAAUGGGGGGAACCCUGAUGCAGCGACGCCGCGUGAGUGAAGAAGUAUUUCGGUAUGUAAAGCUCUAUCAGCAGGGAAGAUAAUGACAGUACCUGAAUAAGAAGCCCCGGCUAACUACGU